GUGAUGACAUUUCGUCGUUAUACACCAAAGCAAAUGCCUUGUAUGUCGGAACUUCCUGGCACUUCCUCCACAUGAUUUGUAUUGGUAAUAACUCCUCCUGUCUAUCUCUGGUGUGCAGUAGCAGCAGCUAAGAAGCCGUCUGAUUCCACUCCCAAACCCAAGAAGGCUCCGGCACCGAGAGCAAAGAAAGCUGAUAAAUCCAUCUUCGACUCGGACUCUGACACCGGGUCCAAGAAACCAGCAGCAGCAUCAGCUUCAGCUCCUAAAGGUGGUGCAGGGAGAGGCAGGGGGAGGAAGAGGAAGGGCUCUGGGUCUGAAGACGAGUACAGUCCCAUGAAGAAGGAGAGGACACCGGUCGGCAAAAAGCCUCAGAAACCUCCGUCAGACGAUGAAGACGAUCACUUCCUGAGCGUCUCGUCUGCAAACCGUCCGGGUCGAGCCAAGAAGGAAGUGAGUUACUUUGUGGAUUCAGAUAACCCAGAAGAAGAAGACGACGACGACAUGUUCGAUUAAACACACACUUCAAACACAUUCCACCCCCCCAACCUUGUGUUCCCCCCCCCCACAGACUUUUGUACAUUUCCUCUUUCGUUUUAUUUCCAUUAAUGGUAACGUUCAAUGAUUUUUAACGUGUGGUUGUUUUACACUUUUUCUUAUACAUAUACAGGUUUCUUUUUUUAUUGCUCAUUGAAAUGUUCCGUAUUUGUCCGAAGCGGCUUUUAGAAGUUUAGACAGCGGUGCUUUAGCACUCUUUAAUUGUUAAAAUACUAUGUAACUUUUUGAACAUGAAGUAAACGAUGAAAUGUC